UCAUCGAUCCUAGAAGUGGUUUCUGCAAUGCAAACUCGACGUUUUACAGUAAACGCAAACCAUUGCCACUUCCGGCGAACACCUCACUCGACGUCACCACUUUCAUCUCCUCCCAACCUCACCGCGGCACAACAGCCUUCAUCGACGCCGCCACGGGCCACCACCUAAGCUUCUCCGAGCUCUGGACGGCCGUAAACCGUGUCGCCGACUGUCUCCACCGCGACGUUGGAGUAAGAAAAGGCGACGUCGUGCUCGUCCUAUCUCCCAACUCCAUCUCCAUCCCCAUCGUCUGCCUCUCCGUCAUGUCUCUCGGCGCCGUCGUCACCACCGCGAAUCCUCUCAACACCGCCGGUGAGAUUUCAAGACAGAUGGCAGACAGUAACCCGGUUCUCGCCUUCACAACCCCUGAGCUGAGUCAGAAACUCGCCGGUUCAGGUAUCUCCGUUGUACUCGAGCGAGUGGGACCCACUCGUGGAGUCAGAGUCGUUGGUUAUCUGAGUGAGAUGAUGAAUAAGGAGCCGAGAGGGAAGAACCGAGUCAGAGACCGAGUCCACCAGGACGACACGGCGAUGCUUCUCUACUCGUCGGGAACCACAGGACGUAGCAAGGGAGUGAUAUCGUCUCACGGGAACUUAAUCGCACACGUGGCGAGACACCUCGUCGAGCCGAUGGACCCGUACGAGAUCUUCCUCUGCACCGUUCCGAUGUUCCACACGUUCGGUUUGUUGAACUACGUCAUGGCCACCGCAUCGUUAGGCUCCACGGUCGUGAUCCUCCGGAGAUUCGAGCUACACGAGAUGCUGGCGGCGGUUGUGAAGUACAGAGCCACGACGCUGGUUCUGGUGACGCCGGUUGUAGUAGCUAUGAUGAACGGAGCAGAUCUGAUCAAGGCGAAGUACGACCUGAGCUCACUGAGAAUAGUUAGGUGCGGUGGAGCUCCGUUGAGCAAGGAGGUUACGGAAGGGUUUAUAGAGAAGUAUCCAACGGUUGAUAUUUUUCAGGGUUACGCUUUGACGGAAUCUAACGGUGCAGGAGGUUCUAUUGAUACGGUGGAGGAGAGCCGGAGAUACGGUGCGGUGGGGUUGUUGUCGUCCGGUGUGGAAGCGAGGAUUGUGGAUCCGGAUACGGGUCGGGUCAUGGGUGUUAAUAGAACGGGUGAGCUCUGGCUUAAAGGGCCUUCUAUUGCCAAAGGUAAAGAAAAUAAGAUGUUGCUUGGGUUACACGUAUACUUUUUAUGACCAACAUUUAUUUGUGUAUAUAAAAAGGUUAUUUUAAGAAUGAAGAAGCUACAAAAGAAAGUUUUAAUUUACAAGGAUGGCUUAAAACUGGAGAUCUUUGCUACAUUGACGAUGAUGGGUUUCUUUUUACUGUUGAUCGAUUGAAAGAGCUAAUCAAAUACAAAGGUUAUCAGGUUAGACAGGUCUUCAUUUUUGAUUAAAAAAAAAAGAAAAAAAGACAGGUCUUCAUUGUAUCAUGUCAAUUAAUUAGGCUUACCAAACAAUAAUUCACAUGCAAAUAUCCAUAUAACGUUAUGGGGAUGUAUAAUAGGUACCUCCAGCUGAACUAGAGGCUCUCUUACUGAAUCACCCAGAUAUUCUAGACGCAGCCGUUAUUCCGUUAAGUCUUGUUGAUCUUUUGCUGCAGUAAUAAUCUUGUUCUUAAAUCAUCAGCAUAACACGUAGUUCUCUUGUUUCUCCUUGGCUUUUGUAUAUUGCAUAGGUUUCCGGAUAAAGAAGCAGGACAAUGUCCGAUGGCUUACAUAUCGCGCAAGCCUGAGAGCGAUCUCUCUCAUAUACAAGUUAUUAACUUCAUCUCUGAACAGGUGCUUAUAUAAUCACAGUCAUUUUAUUACUAAUUUAACACAUCUUGUUGAAGGAUUAAUUAGCUUACUUGGUUGAUUUCUUUUAACAACUUAAGAAUUCACUAUUGAUUAUUUUGGGUGUUUAUGAUGUAAUAAACAUCAGGUGGCACCGUAUAAGAAAAUAAGAAAGGUCGCGUUUAUAGACUCCAUACCAAAAACUCCAUCGGGCAAGAUACUUCGUAAAGACUUAAUCAAACUAGCCACUUCUAAGCUUUAAGCGAAUCACAACAUUGUUACUUUUUAUUUUAUAGUUUUUGUUCAACAUUAUAAGCAAGAAAUUGCACACAACGAAAGAAUCAUAAUAAGAGAAGUUGUAAACUUGUAAUAUAUAGUUUUCAAUAAAAUUUAAAAUUAAGAUGAUAUGGUCUCAAAUCAAGAGAUUUCUCCGCAUAAUUUUUUUUUUGGUUUUGUCAUUUGUGACCGGUUAUUUUUCUUCUGCCAUUUUUUAAUUGAAAUUAUUAACCAUUAUCAUUCGUGAUUGAAACACACUAUGUUAGGUUAGGUUUUAAAGGUUUUCUUUGAUGUAAAUGGCUGAAAAUCAAUCGAGAAUGAAAAGGAAGAAUGAAAAAUUGGAGAAUGUUUAGCGAUGAAUCCUUAUCGCCUAUUUUUACUCUUUAAAUUGUCUGUCUUUCACAUUCUAGAGUUUGCAAAUACUGUGUUGAUUGCAAGGUUCUGAUACCACUUACUCUGUUAAGAGAAAAAGUUAGAGAAUGCUUUCUUAUAUUUAGAACUUUUAUACAGAGUUGAUUAAAUAGACCAAGACAUUACAAACUAAGAUUGUGAUUGGGGAUUAGUCUUCAAAAGCUUUAAAAACGUUAAAAGUAAUUAAAGUUUUCAAAACCAUUAGUUUUACCAAUCAUACUUUGAUUUUCAUAAAAUCAGUGAAAGUCCCUACAAUCACUAAAAAUCUAGUUUCUUUUGUUUUGUUCAUGUUUCCCUACUUUAAAAAAAAAACAGAGGCUUAAAAAAAUAGACUUCCUUUAAAAAAGUUACAACCACAGAAGUAACAGCAAAAAUUCUAAACAAUCAACAAUCAGACAACAAUUCAGACUGCGCUUCCUACAAUAUAGGAAGACUUGUUCUAAACUAAAGAAUCGGUUUACUGAAAAUUUCUCGCUUCACUAUUAUUUACUUUGGUCGUAAUAUAAUAUACAUUGGAGAGUGCCCUUACGAUGCCCUUACGAUACAACCAAGGUCCAUUGACUCAACGGUCAGGCACGACGGCGGCGAAAUAGGAUCAAGAAACUAUGGCGUUAGAUCGGAAAAGUGGUUUCUGCGAGUCAAACUCUAUUUUCUACAGCAAACGCGACCCCAUGGUUCUCCCCCCGCCAAACCAACAUCUCGACGUCACAACUUUCAUCUCAUCGCAGCCUCACCGCGGUAAAACCGCCUUAGUUGACGCCGUCACCGGCCGUUGUCUCAGCUUCUCCGAGCUCUGGCUCGGCGUGAAGAGAGUCGCCGCUUGUCUUUACUCGUUAGGUGUUCGCAAGCGCGAUGUCGUCAUUAUACUCUCCCCAAACUCCAUACUCUACCCCGUCGUCUCCCUCGCCGUCAUGUCUCUCGGCGCCGUCAUCACCACGGCGAACCCCAUCAGCACUUCCGGCGAAAUCGCUAACCAGCUCCACGACUCGCUCCCAGUCCUCGCCUUCACCACCUGCCAACUCGUCUCCAAACUCGCCGCCGCCGCGUCGGCAUCGAAGCUCCCGGUGGUUCUCAUGGACGAGAACAAUGGAGUAGAAGCUCAAGCAGAGGGAGUGAAGAUAGUAGGGAGCUUGGAGUUGAUGAUGGAGAGUGAACCGAGCGAGUCACGAGCCAAGCAGCGAGUCAACCAGGACGACACGGCGGCGUUGCUAUACUCGUCAGGCACGACGGGGAAAAGCAAAGGAGUAAUGAUAACGCACCGCAACUUAAUCGCGCUGGUACAAACGUACCGGCUCCGGUUCGGUUUAGAGCAGCGAACCGUCUGCACUAUCCCAAUGUGCCACGUGUUCAGCUUCGGCGGUUUCGCGACGAGCUUGAUCGCGUUGGGUUGGACGACAAUGGUUCUUCCCAAGUUCGAGAUGUCUAAGCUUCUCUCCGCCGUGGAGACUCACCGUCCCACGCACCUUACUCUCGUCCCGCCGAUGGUUGUAGCCAUGGUUAACGGAGCAAAGGAGAUCAACUCCAAGUACGACGUGAGCUCGUUGCACACCGUCGUAGCUGGAGGAGCUCCUCUGAGCAGAGAGGUGAUCGAGAAGUUCGUUAAAAAUUACCCGAACGUUAAGGUUCUACAAGGCUAUGGCUUGACGGAGACGACGGCUAUAGUUGCUACUAUGUUUACUAAAGAGGAGACUGAGAGGUACGGCUCCUCUGGUUUGCUUUCUCCAAAUGUGGAGGCUAAGAUUGUGGAUCCGGAUACGGGUCGGUUAUUGGGCGUGGAUCAGACCGGCGAACUUUGGCUCAGGAGUCCCACUGUGAUGAAAGGUUAUUACAAGAACGAAGAAGCUACCGCAGAAACUAUAGAUUCAGAAGGGUGGUUGAAGACUGGUGACUUGUGUUACAUUGAUUGUGAAGGUUUUGUUUUUGUUGUUGAUAGAUUAAAGGAGCUGAUCAAAUGCAAUGGUUAUCAGGUAAUUAAAAAUAAAUACAUAUAUAAUCAGCUUGAGUUUGGUCUUUUUGUAAAGUUGGUGGUUUUGGUGAUGUUUGUUAGGUUGCUCCAGCUGAACUAGAGGCAUUGUUGCUUGCUCAUCCAGAGAUUGAUGACGCAGCAGUAAUACCGUGAGAACUUGCUUUUAACAUGACCCAUCACUAAGUUGUUAUAUUUUAAUGACCAUUUUUGCUGGAGAUUUUUAUGUUUAUGUCUUGUUAUUUUUGAAGCAUCCCUGAUGAGAAAGCUGGACAGUAUCCAAUGGCGUAUAUCGUAAGGAAAGCUGGAAGUAACUUAUCCGAAAGUGAAAUCAUGGGCUUCGUUGCAAAACAGGUUUUUUUUGUCCAACAAUGCUUAGAUCAUGUUUUGUCACUAAUCUAACCGUUGUUCCUUGGGUUUAUUCUGAGUUUUGUUUGGAUUGCUUAGGUAUCGCGGUACAAGAAGAUACGCAAAGUCGUAUUUUUAGGUUCGAUCCCCAAAAAUCCAUCUGGCAAGAUUUUGAGAAGAGAACUUAAAAAGCUCACAACUUCAAAACUCUAGCAGGAAGCUGUGUCCACCAUCAUUAUCUCGUACUUCACCGUUAGUUAACUCGUUUAUUUGGCUAACCGAUUAUUGACUUCCUCUAUAGAAGUCUCUGAAUAAACUGAAUAUCUACUCUAUUAAUUUAGGGUCCUAUUUUUUAUCUACCAUUAACACAUCAUAGUUGGACCACUUAAAUAAUUAGUUAAUAUACAUAUUUGAUUAUUUACAUUAAUAAUAAACCAACUAUAAAUUUAAAUUUUAUUUUUUAAUUACAACAAUAUCUGUUGAGAAAAAAUCUAACAAGCUCUUAUUUAUAAUAUAAAUAUUUUUAUAAAAUAACAUAUUAAUUAAUUUCGUAAUUAGUAAUAUAAUAUUCUUAUAAAUUAAUGUUAACAAAAUUUUUAUCAUAAAACAAGAAAAUAAAUAUUAUAUACAACUUUUUAUAUAUUCUAUCAUUAUAUUUUGUAUUAUAUAAAAAUAGAAGUGCUAUAUGAAUUAAAUAUGACAAAAUUAUAUUAAAUAGGUAAAUUAACAAAAUUUGGUUUUUAAAUUGUUUCAUUUAAAUAAAUUAUCAUUUAUCAAUAAAAUGGGUUAAAAUUCUUAGACUAUAUAAUAAAUUUAUAUAAAAAUAAAAUUAUUUAGGUCAAACUUUUAUAUCUACAACUAUAUAUAUAUAUAUUUUUUGGAACUAUCAACAAUAUAUUGUUUAAAAUGUUUAUAUACAAAGAUAUAAUAUUAUAUAAUAAUAUUAAUUCAUAUAUUAUUAAAAAAAUGUUAUUAGAAAAUUGUGAGAUUUUAGUAAUUCAUUUAAAAUAUUAAUGACAAAGCAAAUUUAAUUAUAAUAUUUUUCAAUUAUAAAAAAAAUCUGUUGGGAAAAUCUUAGAACAUAUUACCAAAUAUUCAAAUAUUUUUUUUAUAAAAUAAUAUAUUAAUAUAGUAACAAAAAACAAAGUCAAAAUUCAUGUAAACUUUCAACCUCAAAAAUAGUAGGGUAAUUUUUUAAAGUUUUCUUGAAAAAACAUAUGAUUUUGAAAAUAAAUAUUCAAACUCAAAAUGAUAAUAUUUCAAAUUUUACAAAAGAUAAAAUCAUAGAUAAUAAAGAAUAACUUUUUGAAAUGCACCACAAAAAAAAACAAACUAUAUAUCUUGUAAAAAUUACAUAAAUCUGUUAUUUUAAAAAUUUAAUGAAAUAUGAAAAGAUAACAUACUUAAUAUCAUAAUAUCCAAAAAUAUCUUAUAUCAAUAAAAUUUACUAAAAUAAUAUGAUAGAUGCUACUACGUAUAAAAUUUACUAGAAUAAUAGGGUGUAUAUUAUUUAAACGAAAUAGUGUUUGCUUUUUUACUUAUAAACCCAGUAAAAUACUAAAAUAAUAUAUGUUAAAGUAUAAUUUUUUAAACACACCAUGUUAAUAUAAAUUAUCUUAAACAUAUUUUUUUAUAUAAUAUAUCCUAUCAUAUUAGUUUAGUAAAUUAAAAAAUAUAUUUUAAAGGAGAUUAUCUAUUUUAUUAUUUUAUAUUGUUAUUUUAUUGUAGCAUCUCGAAAAUUUAUUAGUAAAUAAUAAAAAUUAAUAACAAAAUAAAAUCUAUUAAAAAACUCACUAUACAUUACGAAUGCCAAAUUAGAAAUAAAUAAUAAUAUUAUAGAGUUUACAAUAUAUAAUGCUAAAAUAAAAAUUAUAUAUUUAAAAUAUUUGUAAUAAUAUCAAAUACAUUUAUAAAAUGAAAAAAUAUCCGCACGGACGUGCGGGUUAAAAUCUAGUUGCUUAUUAAUUGUACUGAAAAUGCUAAUCAGAAAAAAUGAUUGUCAGACUCUAAACUUUAAUUCAGACAUAUUAGUUAAACUCGUUGGUUGGCGCAUGAGGCGCAUCAAAGCUCUCCAGAAUCUGAGUUGUACUCACUGACUUAUCCUCAGACUCCUUCCCACUCUCAAACCAACCUCCAAACCAAGAUCUCGAACCUGCCACCGAAGCAGAAGAAGUCUCCGGCACGGACUGACCAAGAACCUGACAAAUGUGCACACAAGAUGGUAACGAGGCUGCAUCAUCCAUGAAAGCCUCCUCGUUCUGCGCUGCACUCGUGAAUUUAUCCACAGCGUUCCAGACUCCUACUGUGAGAGCUGCAAGCGCACCACUAAAUAAAGCCGUGUUACGAGAGGUGCGGAAGCCUUGACGCAGCGAUAAGAGACCUCCAGUGGGGACGCUGGCAAAGAUCAAGUUCCAUGAAUCUUCCUUCUGUCUCGCAUACUCCAUAGCGCAGGCAAAGCUCGACACGAGACCACCCCAUACGGCGAAGCUUCCUCCGACUCUCGGGGCGUUCAUACGUACAUACUCAGCCCCGCCGGAGAGACGAGCCCCGGCGGGAGAGUUGUAGAUUCCUUUGAUCAUGUAAAAGACGGAUCCUCCGGCAAUACCCAUGCCGAACGCACCGCCAACAUCGUCUAAGAUCAGGUCGGGACAUAGUUCUAUUGUACUCUCUGGAGUUUCCAUAGGUUUCGCCCUUUUUCUUAACUGUGAGAGAAAGACAAGUUAAAGAACCCUUAAACCUUUCUAUUAUUUUCUUCAAAAGAAAUUAAAAGUGGAAAGAAAGAAAAGUACUGCGAAAAUGGAAAGAUAACAUUCUCCCAAGUCCCAACCUAACAAUUCAAGCAUCAUCAUCUUCUGUUGACGUAUUUGUAAGAGGCUCUAACAUGUUUUUAGAGUUACCUUUUUUAUGAUCCUCACCUACAUGCCAUAUUAAUAAUCUCUCGUCUUUUGUUUGAUUCAGAAAAAGAAACAUGCCAUAAGCGCAAUGAUACAAUGAGUAUCCUGCAAUAUUAAUAAUUUCUUGUCUUUAGUUUGAUUCAGGAAAGAAAACAUUCCAUAAACGCAGUUAAGCAAUGAGUACAACAACACUGGCCGUCAACAUGUACGAGAUGGAUUACGUCCUUCUACAAAGACCCUCAAAUAGAAAGUUUGGCCUGCUAAGCCGGCCCAGGCCACUAGCUCGGCUGAGCGAUCCCCGACCAAGAGCGCAAGCUCGGCUCAAGACCGUCUCAAUUGACUGAUCGAAGAAAGCACAUCAGGUUGGCUUGAAAGCCCAGUUGCUCGGCCCGAUCGAGAUCAAGGCCGGACACGACGACCUAAGACAUUGGGAAGAAAGCAGCCUAUAUAAGGAAGAGGAGGGUCAGCAAGAGGGGGAUUCGAGAAUUUACACACAUACUUGAUGGGUAAAAACUAGAGUUCUUACUUAUUGUAUUUUCGCCGAUUUGUACUUUCUCGGCUAACUCUCCGAGCACCAGUUUACUCUUGCGUUUAUUUCUUCAUGUGGGAAAAGAAGAGCAAUAAGUCAAGGAGUGUUGAAAGUUGUUGUGUUGGUAUGUUAAAGUCUUUGAGUUUGCUUGUUACAGUAGUCCAAGUAUAAGUUAAAAAUAUGGGUUAUAUAUGGAGAGUGCUCCUAAGUCUAAGUAAAAAAUAAGGCUAUAUGGAGAGGAUCAAGAGUUUUCUGUUUUCUCUGUAAAUAUGUAAUGGCCAAUUUUGUGUAAUAAGCAAGCAAAAAUCAAUUCUCUACUUCAUAUUUCUCUAUCUACUUCUGUCACUCUCUCUUACUGAUAUAUAGGUAAAACUUUCCUCUGUUUUCUUUUCGAACAAGAACAAAAGAAAUAUGAAGAAAAGCUGCAAUUUUUCUGCAGUUUUCAACAAAGACCAUGACUUCCUUUUAAGCUCAACUAGUUACAAAUCAACAUUGUCGAAUACUAGGGCUGUUCAAUAUGGUAAAACCGAACCGUACCGAACCGAACCGAACCGAAAUAGACAAUAUGAUUUGGUUUUGGUAUAUACUAUAUAAACCGAAUGGAUAUAAUUUUAUAAAAACCGUAGGAUUUGGAUAUGGUUUGGUAUAUAACCGAUUAAACCGAAUAAACCGAAUAAAACCGAUUAAAAGUAGAAACAUGUAAAUAUAUAUCUAUUUUAAAACAAUACAUGAAAAUCUAUUUGAUACAUAAGUUAAAUUUGUGUUAAUAACUAUUACCAUAAUUUUAUAGUAAUAAAUGAUGAUAAGAGUUUCAAGGCUCCUAAUCAAAUGUUGUAGUAUAAAGGAUGUCAAACCAGUUCUAAGUGAUUAUGAUGCAAAGAGAAUGCAAGACCUUGCUUAAUCUAAGUGCUACUAGUUCUUGAGAUGAUUUUAAACUAGAUUUCUACCUAAAAUGCAAUAAAGGACAAAGCUUUCUUUCUUAUAAGAUGGGAGAACUCAUGGGUUAUGGUAAUUGAUCUUGGGUGAUCAAGAUUCAACCUAAAGGUGUCAACUUUCAACCAAUUUAUAUCUACCUUAGACCUAGACACAAUCCUAAGCAAACUCUAUCCCUAGAUGAAUGCUCAUUUACCUAGAUAACUCAAGCAUCAAAUUCCUUUGGUUGAAUGUUAUCUAAGUAAUCAUUAAUCUCAAGUCUACUAGCCAUCUUAACACAUUUAACAACAAAUCCCUUUGGUAAAGAAUGUUAAAAGCUUAGGAGAGUUGGUUCAGACAUUUCAUCAUACACCUUCCGGGUAUGAAAUGCCUAGAGCUCAACUUUAGAGAGGUCAACUCUAAAAUUGCAUUAAAAGCACUCUACUAGCAAGGAACAAGAUUGAUCUAUACCUAAACACCUUAGAUUUAGCUUAAUCACCCUUAAUCUCCCUAACCCAUGAAUCCAAAUAUGACUACUCACUAAUUGUCAUGAUAGACCCAAGAAUCAAUGAUGAUUUGGUGUUAAUCAUGAUUAGUGAUCAAUAUAAUCUAAGAAAUCACACUCAAAGUUCUUUGUGAUUAGAUAGAAAAUAAGAUAAGAUCCUAACUUUAGGAUUACAAGAGUAUUUAUAUGUCUUUGGAAAACCUAAUGGUUUCCAUUAAAAAGUCUAAAAAGCCCUUUUAAAACAUUAAAAUUCGACUAAGAUAAAGAAUGCUCGGAGCGGGUGCAUGACCUCGCUCCCGUAGGUCGCUCCAAAGAUCACCUCCACUUCUUCAAAUUGCGCGCGGGGUCAUGACCUCGCUGCACCAGGUCGCUCCACAUCUGGAAAGUUGUCGACGACAUGUUGAGCUCGGAGCGGGUGCACUACCCCGGUGCAAGAGGUCGCUCUAGUACAGAGCGAGUGUCAUACCUCGCUCCCGUGGGUCGCUCUACACUUCACUCAUCCAGAGCGGGUGCAUGACCUCGCUCCAGUAGGUCGCUCCAGCUCCUCUACUCGCCCAAUGAUCCUUUUCUACUUCUUUUUUGAAUCACAAUGCUCCCAAACAUCUCCAAUCACUCCAUAGCACUCUCCAACAUCUAAUAAGGACAAUGCAUGCAACAUAGACUCUAAAGAUGCUUAAUUCCUAAUCUAUAUGAUCAAAAUGUACAAGAUAUGAAGGCUAAAAACAUGUAAACAUGCAAGAUAUCAACUCCCCCAAACUUGUCCUUUACUUGUCCUCAAGUAAACUUUUCAAAACACAAGAAGGAGAUAUUUUAAAUUGGGAGAUUAUAACCAAAAGAAACACUUUCUAGCCUUCAAUAUGACAUCCCAAAGAAAACAUAGCAAAUAGCAUGAGCAACUCCCUUAUUAUACUCUAGCUUCUCUAGGCCUAUCCAUACUCUUAUGCCUCUACUCAAGUUGCAAUACUCAUCAACUGACAAGUUCCUUCAACCAGCUCUCACAUUGAUUCACACACACACACAAAGUGAAUUCUCACAAAUGGGCACAUGAUCUCAAUCAUUUGGCUAGGUAAGCAAUGGUCUAAUAUGAAUGAAAAGAAGGAUUUAAAUGUUAUUAUUCCAAAGUGGUUAUCACUCAAGAACAAGGAACUUGAUCAUUAUGCAAAAUUUAUCUAAGAUUAGAAGCAACUCAUGCAUACAUAGAUUAAUUCUCAUCAUGCUACCCUUUUCCUAAGUGAUUACCAGUUCUACCCUUUUAUCAUCAUCUCAAACCAAAAUAAAACACACUCUCAUUACUCACCCAAUGAACAACUCUCUUCUUCUUUUGACUCAACUAACUAGGGACUUUAAUUCAUUUUCUUUACAGCACUUAGCUCUAACUCUUUCUCAUUUCCUUCCACACUUUCUCUUUGAUUCUUUUUCUUUUUUUUCUAUAAGGGGGAAGGUUCUUACAUAAUCUAAAACUUCAUACUUUCCCUUUUUUUUUUUUUUUUUUUUGUCCCUGGAGUUUUCUUUUCUAUUAACACUCUUUUAUUCAUCUCUCUCAUCUUUCUCACUCCUCAAACCCAAGAUAUUGAAAUUUAGGUUACACAAACCCCUCUCACUGUCCCUAAAUGCUAGCUCAUUAUGCUAGCAAGAGAUGAGAAUAAACCUAUGUCGCCUCCAAUACUCUCAAGAUUUUGCACAUGACAAGCUAUCAAAAGAGGCCUCACUCAUGCAAUUCAAUGUUUGGUCUCAAAGAAUGGUUAGGGUUGUAGGGUAUGGAGUGCCAUUUGGGUUAACAAAGAUUGGUAUAUAAAGGAAUAAGAUAACCCAAAUGUGUAUGAGAUCCAUGAUUAAGUAUGCAAGUGCCCAUAUGCAAGAGAGAUUAAGUUCGUUCAAGCCAAGUUUAGAUUGGAGCUGAUCUUAAGAACAAUGCCAACAUCAAGCAAGCAAACAAGUUUCAAGAAGAGUUUUCAAGGCUCGAAGCUUCCAAGCUUUUUCAAAAGAUGCUUAAGCUACUUGAUAUGUUUAGCUAGGAUGUCAAAUUGAGUUCUAGACAUGUGUUCUUUACAAGGUUUCUCCAAUGCAUGAAUGCAAUCUAAAUGCUUAUAGACUCAAUCCUAAAGAUGCAAAUGAUGCAACUAAAUGCUUAUUUUUGUGAUUUUCGAAAUGUUUUUAAUUUUUGUGGGUUUUCUAUGCAAAUAAUUAUUUACAAUGCAAUGCAUGAGACUUAAUGACAAGUAGUCAAAACAAAACACAAUGUGAGAUAGUAGACUCUCCCCCAAACUUACUUCACACAGUCUCUUGUGUGAGAAUAAGCUCAAAGAAGAGAUCUAAGGGAAAGAGAUAAACAUGAAAACUAAAAAUUUACAAGGGUGGAAUGCACUUACUUGAAGUUGGCUGUCAUAAGAGAAGGGAAAUGAGGAGGGAGGACUUGUUGUCACCUUGGAAUUUUUGACAUGACCUUUGGGAAUUUUUGAGAAUUCCCCCAAACUUGUCCCUAAGCUUAUUCAAACACACUAAAGCAAGAAAAAGAUAUAUAAAGAUAUAUACAAAGGAUACCAUGGGACUUCCUCCCAAGUGAGCUUGUUUUAAGUCUCUAGCUUGACUUUUCUUCCAAUUGGCUAGUGAAGAGGAGGAUCUUUCCCACCUUCAAGAGUGAUUGUGAGAACUUGAGAGAGAAGCUCUUGAAGCUUGAUUGGAUCACUUUGGAGCUGAGGAGUGAUGAUGGCCCUUGCACUUGAGAAUGGCUUAGACCUCCCCUUGCACUUGAUUUUGUACUCAAUGGCCCCAUCCUUAAGCUUCAUUGGGUGGAGAGUGAGAAUGUGAAGAGUCUUAUCAAGAGGUGGAGGAUGAGGUUCUUUGACAAUCUUCUUCUUGUCAUGAGCAACCUUUGUAUUUCUACUCACCUCCUCUUUUGUAACACUUUCCAAGUGCUCAUCACACAACUCUUUAGAAGACUCUCCAGCAAGACCUUCUUUCUUAAUAUCAACCCCUUCAGCCUUGGUCUUCUCAAUGGAAGAUGCUCCACAAGUAAUUGUUCCACAAUACUCAGCAUUCAUCUUUGGGGAUUGUAGUGGAUAGGAGACAGCUUUGUUCACAUUUAGGAGUGUGACCUUUUUGUUGGCAAAGUCUAUGCAAGCUCCUACUGUUGUAAGGAAUGGAGUGCCAAGGAUCAAUGGGACUCUCUUCUCAGUUGCCAUCUUCAGAACAGUGAGGUCUAUAGGAAUGGUGCAUGCUCCAAUCUUCAAAGGGAAGUCCUUGAUGAGACCAAUAGGAGUUGUAGAAGAGGAAUCCCCAAACUGUAGGGAAGAUGUGUUUGGCUCCAUGCUCUCAAUCCCUAGGCUCUUCAUCAUCUCCAUUGAGAUCACAUUUACACUUGCACCAGAAUCAACAAGAGCAUCAUCAAAAGUGAACUUACCAAGGUUGCAAGGCAAGGUGAACAUCCCUUGAGACUCAAUUUUAGGGAGAAACUUUGGAGGGAUUGGUGGAUCAAUCUUCAUAAUGGAGAUGUCCAAAAGCUCAGCCACUUCAGCUUGGUGGUCUAGAAUGUCGUUGAUGAGCAUCAUCUGGACAUGAGCUUCACGCAUACCCGAGAUUUCUGGAAGCCUGACGCCAACAUCAGUAAGAUCUUUCCUGAACUUGGAGAGCACCUUCCUUUGAGCUUUGGUGAGAACUCUUUGGGGGAAAGGGAGUUGAUCAUAGGGUGAAAGCUCAACCUUAGUUGUUUCUUCUAGCUUAACCUUUUUUAGCUUGUUGUCAGCUCUCUUCUCAACUUGUUUUUCAGCCUUGUGCUCAGCUCUUUGCAGAUUCGUUGCUUCAACCUUGAUGGCAGCGUCCAUCACGAUCUGUGCUUCAGCUGUGGCUACAACAAAUCUCUCAACUUCCCCAAACUCAGUUCCAAAUACCAGCCGUUCAAUCUCAUCCUCCUCUUCUUUCUCAUGAUCACUCAGCUCAAUCUCUGGAAAAGUAGUAGAGAAGACAACAUUGCAAGACUCCUUAAGGUUCUUUUCUGGUUUUCCUGGUAGAGAUCCCAUUGGCUGCUUGGAGGAUGAAGGCAUAGAAGCAACUUGACUCUCCAAAGCCUUGAGAUGAGAGGCAAGUUGCAUGUACUUGUUGUUGAGGUCAGAAUAGUUCCCAUCAAUCUUUGCAUGGAUGUUUUUGAACUCAUAAAUCAUGGUCUUCUCAUUUCUGGCCUGAAAUUCCAAGAGUUGUUUGAACAUAGAAUCCACACUUGAAUCUGGAGCUUGAGCUUGAGAAGAGCUUCCUUGAGUCUGAGGAGACUGGUUGGCUUGGUAACCUCCUUGCUGAUUGUUGUAAAGUGGUCUUUGCUGGUAGUUGUUUUGGUACUGAAAGUUGGGCUCUUUCUUGUACCAUGUGCCAUUAGCAUUGAUGAAGCACAGCUCCUCUUGGCCUUCUAAACCAUCAACCUCAUUGAUCACUGGAGGUGUCUCUUGUUUCUGGUCACCAACAAAGUUCAUCUUCUCCUGCUUAGCCUUUUCUGCAAGAAGUAGAUCCAACUUGGCUUGAAGAGACUUCAGCUCUUUCUUUGUCUGCUGAUCAUCACUUCUGUUGAUCCUAUCAUGCUCCUCAGUGUAGACUGAGUCACUCUUGGCCAUGUUCUCUACCAGUUCCUCUGCUUCUUCCUCAGUUCUUCCCAAGAAGAAACCAUUGCUGGCAGUAUCAAGUCUGUUUCUGCAUUGUGGUAGAGCUCCUCUAUAGAAGGUGCUCAGCAAACUCUCCUUGCUGAAACCAUGAUGAGGGCAUUGAGACCAAUAGCCCUUGAACCUCUCCCAUGCUUCACUGAAGCUCUCUAGAUCUUUCUGUUGAAACCCAGAGAUUUCGUUCCUGAUUUUAGCUGUCCUUGAAGUAGAGAAGAACUUGUCUAGGAAAGCUCUCUUGCACUCAUCCCAAGUAGUGACAGUGUCACUUGGAAGAGUCUUCUCCCAUUGGUGUGCCUUGUCUCCCAAAGAGAAAGGGAAUAGCUUCAGCUUGAAAGCGUCUUCAGAAACACCAUUUAUCUUGGACAAGCCACAAUACUUAUCAAACUUGUACAAGUGAUCAAAAGGGUCUUCAGCAGCAAGACCAUGAUACUUGUUGUUCUCUAUAGUGUUGAGCAGUCCUGACUUGAUCUCAAAGUUGUUGUUCUCCACAGCUGGUGCUCUGAUUCCCAACCUAUGACCAUGAAUGUGAGGUUGAUCAUAGGCUCCAGUGGUACGAGCUUGGCGCAAUGGAUGUUGUGGCUGGCGCUGUGGUCUAAAAGGAUCAGCUCUUGGAUCAAUGCCUCCUUGGGCAUCACCAUCUUGAGGCAGAUUCUCCAUAUCAAACCCCAACCUUUGCAAGUGAGCCUGUUGCUCUACUUCUCUUCUUUGUCUUGCAAUUUCCCUCUCAAGUGCUCUAAUGUCUUCAACUCUUGGAACUAGGUUUGUUGGACCUCUGCUCCUUGUGUUCAUACACCUGAAAUGCAAACAGAGAAGAACAAAGAGAAGCAAUAACACAAUUAAAUAAAAAUUGACUUAGUCUCAAGCAAAUGACUAAAUCUCAAUGUCACAAUCAACUUAGAAUUUGGCAACGGCGCCAAUUUGAUGAUAAGAGUUUCAAGGCUCCUAAUCAAAUGUUGUAGUAUAAAGGAUGUCAAACCAGUUCUAAGUGAUUAUGAUGCAAAGAGAAUGCAAGACCUUGCUUAACCUAAGUGCUACCAGUUCUUGAGAUGAUUUUAAACUAGAUUUCUACCUAAAAUGCAAUAAAGGACAAAGCUUUCUUUCUUAUAAGAUGGGAGAACUCAUGGGUUAUGGGAAUUGAUCUUGGGUGAUCAAGAUUCAACCUAAAGGUGUCAACUUUCAACCAAUUUAUAUCUACCUUAGACCUAGACACAAUCCUAAGCAAACUCUAUCCCUAGAUGAAUGCUCAUUUACCUAGAUAACUCAAGCAUCAAAUUCCUUUGGUUGAAUGUUAUCUAAGUAAUCAUUAAUCUCAAGUCUACUAGCCAUCUUAACACCUUUAACAACAAAUCCCUUUGGUAAAGAAUGUUAAAAGCUUAGGAGAGUUGGUUCAGGCAUUUCAUCAUACACCUUCCGGGUAUGAAAUGCCUAGAGCUCAACUUUAGAGAGGUCAACUCUAAAAUUGCAUUAAAAGCACUCUACUAGCAAGGAACAAGAUUGAUCUAUACCUAAACACCUUAGAUUUAGCUUAAUCACCCUUAAUCUCCCUAACCCAUGAAUCCAAAGAUGACUACUCACUAAUUGUCAUGAUAGACCCAAGAAUCAAUGAUGAUUUGGUGUUAAUCAUGAUUAGUGAUCAAUAUAAUCUAAGAAAUCACACUCAAAGUUCUUUGUGAUUAGAUAGAAAAUAAGAUAAGAUCCUAACUUUAGGAUUACAAGAGUAUUUAUAUGUCUUUGGAAAACCUAAUGGUUUCCAUUAAAAAGUCUAAAAAGCCCUUUUAAAACAUUAAAAUUCGACUAAGAUAAAGAAUGCUCGGAGCGGGUGCAUGACCUCGCUCCCGUAGGUCGCUCCAAAGAUCACCUCCACUUCUUCAAAUUGCGCGCGGGGUCAUGACCUCGCUGCACCAGGUCGCUCCACAUCUGGAAAGUUAUCGACGACAUGUUGAGCUCGGAGCGGGUGCACUACCCCGGUGCAAGAGGUCGCUCUAGUACAGAGCGAGUGUCAUACCUCGCUCCCGUGGGUCGCUCUACACUUCACUCAUCCAGAGCGGGUGCAUGACCUCGCUCCAGUAGGUCGCUCCAGCUCCUCUACUCGUCCAAUGAUCCUUUUCUACUUCUUUUUUGAAUCACAAUGCUCCCAAACAUCUCCAAUCACUCCAUAGCACUCUCCAACAUCUAAUAAGGACAAUGCAUGCAACAUAGACUCUAAAGAUGCUUAAUUCCUAAUCUAUAUGAUCAAAAUGUACAAGAUAUGAAGGCUAAAAACAUGUAAACAUGCAAGAUAUCAAUAAAAAACCUUAAUUUGUAAAACAUUACAUCGCAAUUCAUACAUCUUAUUUUCUAAGUUUUUUUUUGAUCUUUUUGAUUUAUUUUAGUCUUCACUUAAUUAAUAUGAAGAUUAUAAAUUUGAUAGACAAUAAUUAAUGGAAAAUUUUCAAUUGAAAAAGCAUGACUUUAAUGAACACUAAAUAUGGAAGAGUGGAAAAACUUUUCUUUUAUGUUUCUGUUUUGUUUCAUAUUUUUAUUUUUAAAAUUUCAAGCUUUAAUUUUAGUUAUAGAAUUGAUUAUUUUAUUUGAUGGUAGAAGCAUUUUUACUUUUUUGUUCAUCUAUUUGAACAUGUAAUAUAUUUUUAAUAAAUGACUGUGUUGACAAUAUGACUCUAAAAUUCAUAUAAUAUGAUCUCAAACAAAAUAAUUAUGUUUUUUGGUAUAAAACCGAAUAAACCGAAAACCGACGGUAUAUAAACCGAACCGAACCGAAGUAAAUAUGGAUUUAGAAUGGUAGUUAUAUUUUACUAACCGAAAUACCGAAAACCGAAAAAAACCGAACCGAAACCGAACCGAUAUCCGGAUUGAACACCCCUAUCGAAUACUAUUAUAUAUCUCUCGGUGAUGUCGUAGUAUAUCUAUCUUAACUUACUAACAUUAUUGUCGAUUUACUUUGAUCGCACUAGCUCUAUCCGGUCGUCUAAGACAUAUGUUUACUGUGUCGAUUUGUUCAAUUCAAUCGAUGGGUUGUGAGUUACUUUUUCAUAAUUUCUUCACUUCUCACUUUUCUUUCGCCUACUUUCUCAAUUUCAGUAAAAACACUGAGCAAUUUUUUUCAGAACGAGUGCAGACAAUAUGUAAUAAUAACUUCUAGUUUUACGUACAACCAGACAUCAUAAUAAUCCAAGUCAACAACUAAAAACAUUAUACCGAGCGUUUUUUGCAGAAUAAUAAUCAUAGAAACUAAUUAUUAAGCUCUAAAACUUAUAUAUUAGUAAAAAAUAAAUCCAGACAGAUUAGUUAAACUCGUAAGUUGGGACAGGAGGCGCAUCAAAGCUCUCAAGAACCUGAGUUUUGCUCCCACUCUUAUCCUCAGACCCCUUCUGCUUCCCUUUCCCAAACAAACCACCAAACCAAGAUCCCGAACCUGCCUCCGAAGCAGAUGAAGUCUCCGGCACAGGCACGGACUGUCCAUAAACCUGAGCAGGUGGUAACGAGGCCGCUUCACCCAUGAAAACCUGCUGUUGCUGCGCAGCACUCGCGACUUUGUCCUUAGCGAGCUGGACUCCUUGUAUGAGAGCUAAAAUCGCACCUCCGAACAAAGCCGCCCUACCAGACGCGCGGAAGCCUUGACGCAGCGAUAAAAGACCUCCAGUGGCGGCACCGGCAAUGAUAGAGUUCCAUGGAUCUUCCUUCUGUCUAGCGUACACCAUGGCGCAGUCCAUGGUCGAGAACAGACCACCCCAUACGGCGAAGCUUCCUCCGAGUUUAGGAACGUUCAUACGUACAUACUGUGCGCCGCCGGAGAGACGAGCGCCGGCGGGAGAGUUGUAGAUUCCUCUGAUGAAGUGAUAGACGGAUCCUCCGGUUAUACCCAUGCCGAACGCACCGCCCAUAUCAUCUAUGAUCCGGUCGGGACAUGGCUCUCUUGUAGUAUCUGGAGUUCCCAUCGGUUUUGCUUUUUUUUUUUUUUUUUGACGUUUACAACUGUAUGAAAAAGUAGAAUCAAGGAACCAUCAAACCCUAUAUUUUUUUCUUUAAACGAAAUUAAAAGUGGAAAGAAAGAAAACUAUUGCGAAAAUGGAAAGAUGAAUUUACGUGUUCUCCAAGAUUUUUAACAAUAUGUAAGGGUUGAAUAUCCCCAUUUUAAAAAAGCCCAUCACUAAACCCAAAAAUGUCAAAUAAUUACGAUGAAAGAAUGAGAAGUAGGAUUUUAUCCUUUUUUUUUUUCUUUUUUUUUAAUCCUUUUCUAUAUAACGUCGGUAAAAACAUGUCCGAACUCCAAAAAAUUUCUUAAACAAAAAACAUAUUAAUCUUUUAAUAAAUUGUAAUUAAUAAUCAAAAGUUAAUUGUAAAACAGAAAUUCAACUAAUCUAUUGUUUACAAGUGUCACAUCAAAUUUUAAUGGAGUUCUAAAAAAUCUAAACAUUAGAACUUCUCUCUCUUCUCUUUUUCUAAAAAACUGACUUUAGAAUCUCUUUUAAACUCUUUGUUGUAGGUACUCUAAUCAAGAUGCUACUUUCAUUACAGUGAAUUGAUUAAUCAUUUUGUACUUUGUCGAGAAAGAUAUAUAAUUUAUGAUUUAAUUAAGUACUAAAGCUAAAUUCUAAUCGAUCACUGUUCCAUUUUUCUUUUUUUUAUUCAUGCUUACAUAGGAGUUAGGACCAUGAAGUGAAUAUCACGAAACAAGUUGGAAAGAUAUAUACCAAGUAUAAAAAUGUUCAAAAAAUUGUAAUGAAAUCAUACACCUCUGUCUCUUAAAUAUCGUUUCACACUACGGAAUGUGUUCACUCAAUUUUAAUUUUUAACUAUAAAAUUCUGAUUGAAAAUCACGAAACAAACAAUUAGAAAAGAAUAUAACAAGUACUGUAUAUUAAAAGUAUAGUAAAAGAAAAAAGAUGAAUCUAAGGAAUCGAGAUUUGACUUUUUUGACCUUACACAAAAACAAAUCAUACACAGUUUCCUCUUAAAUACCAUCUCACACAAUGAAAUUUGUGUUUACUCAAUUUUAUUUUCCACACAAAUUAGUUAAGCUCCUAAGUUGAGACGGGAGGCGCAUCACAGCUCUCAAGAACCCGAGUCUUGCUCCCUGACUUAUCCUCAGACUCUUCUUUCUUCCCACUCCCAAACAAACCUCCAAACCAAGACCCUGAACCUGCCUCCGGAGCAGAAGAAGUCUCAUAAACCUGAGCAGGUGGUAAGGAGGCCGCAUCACCCAUGGAAGCCUGCUCGUGCUGCUGCGCAGCAUUCGCGAGUUUGUCCAAAGCGAUCUGUACUCCUUGUAAGAGAGUUAACACCAAAACCGCCCUAGCAGACGCGCGGAAACCUUGACGCAGCGAUAAAAGGCCUCCGGUGGCGGCGCCGGCAAAGAUGGAGUUCCAUGGAUCUUCCUUCUGUCUAGCGUACACCAUGGCGCAGUCCAUGGUCGAGAACAGACCACCCCAUACGGCGAAGCUUCCUCCGAGUUUAGGAGCGUUCAUACGUACAUACUGUGCGCCGCCGGAGAGACGAGCGCCUGAGGGAGAGUUGUUGAUUCCUCUGAUGAAGUGAAAGACAGAUCCUCCGGCAAUACCCAUGCCGAACGCAUCGCCAAUAUCAUCUAAGAUCCGGUCGGGACAUGGUUCUCUUGUAUUCUCUGGAGUUCCCAUUUGGUUUUUGCUUCUUUUCUUUUCUUGACGUUUACAACUGUAUGAAGAAAAAAGUAGAAUAGAACCCAUUAAUAUAAACCCUGGCGAUGAUCAACUCUUUGUACAAUACUUUCAAGGAAGAAGAUGGUUUCCUCUACAUGACUUACAGCACCUAGAAAACAUGCGGCUAACCCAACAAAAAAAACAUUCGUUGCUUUAAUAUUUGAAAAGCAAAAAAGAGAAAAAAAAAUAUUUGAAAAGCUCGUUUCCUGAAUAAUUCGUUUGUUUAAUUCAUACUGUUUGUGAAUAAAAGAAUGCCAGCCCUUGUUGUUGUUAGUUAGCUGAACGUUGUACAGAAAAGCUAAAAACAUUUGACUUUGUAAAUCGUAUUCAAUAAUAAAACAAUGUGAUGAUAUGAUUCACACGACAAAAAAAGUAUUGCGAAAAUGAAAAUUUUGGAACCUUAAUCUAUUAGAAUUUAACACUCAAAUAAUAAAUUAUCUUUCAUGCUUAUGUAGAACCAUAAAAAUCAUGAUUGACAUUCACGAAAAAAAAAACAGAAAUGAUAAUAAUAGAUGUAAAAAUAUUUAAAAAACUAUAAGGAAAUAGACGAAUUCACAUAGCCGAGAUUUGAUCUCUUUUCUUAAUUUAAUAAAUCAUUGCAAUAUGUAAUGGUUCUAUGCGAAUUUUGAAUCUCAAAAUAUAAUCGUGGUUUCACAGUCCCGAAACAAAAUCUACGAACUUUAUUAUUACAAUAUACUAUUGAGACACUUACUUCUGAUCUAAAAAGUUUUGAUUGUGAAAUAACUUAUUGUUGUAUGUUUGUAAGAUGUGCUUUUGUGAAGAUAUUAUGAUUUUUUUUAUAGUAAAAAUUACCUUGGUCAUCAAGUUGGUUAAGCUUGAUUACCAAAUUGGUCUGACUUACUCACUAAGUUGGCUUAACUUGGUUAAUUUGAACACUACAUUUUCUUUAAGGGCCAAACUAUUUGCCUUAAGAACCCAAAAUCAUAAUAUAUCAUCUUACUCACUUUAUUAGACUUACAAAUAAUGUCCAAUGAUCUUUAUAUUCUUAACAUAAAUCAAAAUUUUAUUCAUCAUAUUGGAUUUAUAAAAAUGUCCAACAAUCUUCAUAUCUCUUCACAUAAAUUAGAUUUUUACUUAAUCCAUUGAACUUACAAAAAAAUCUAUUCAUAUAUCCAAUUUCAUAUUUAACCUAUUAUUAGGUUUAUAAUAAGAGAAAUUUGACCCUAUAACCAUUAAAAAACUAAAAUUAAAAAACUAACAAUUCUUCCCAUCUAUAUCUUCCUUUUUGUUUAUAUAGCACUCUAACCCAUGAUUAGUUUCCUAAUUUUAAUAUAUAUUUUUUUGUUAUUUCCCUAAUUCUCCCUUAUGAUAAUUGGUUCUAAUUAACAGCUUAAUUAUUAUAAUAUUCAAAAUAAACAAACAUAAAAAUUGUUAACCAAAUAGAUUUUUAUGAAAAUUAAUUUAUAGUGAAAUAAUCAUAUAAUUUUUUAAAGAAAUAGACAAAAAAACAAACUGAUAGUAAACAAAAUAUUUUUUAGCUCAUCCAUAACUCGGGUUAAACUUCGUGUACUACAGGUUUCUAAUAAUCAUUGUGUACUACAGCUUAGUGCCAUUUGUACUGCAUAAAGGACCCAUGUACAAACAUAUAAACCAGACCAGCCCCGACGACAUUAGAAAAAAAACCCAAGCCUUUGACUAUUUGACAACCUCAUAUACUCUCUGCAUCCUUACGAAGAAGAGGAAUCAGGUAACUUUAAGAGUCUGUGAUUCUGUGGUACGAUUCUUUAUUCUUAUUCUCUCUUGCCGGUAGUGUACUGCAGAGCCGAGUACUCUUUCUCCUCUCCGACUUGCUGCGACCUCCUAUUCCCUGAGAUCGUCUUUUUAUAUAUACAUAUUAUCUUCAAUCAUUUUUUAAGUUAAUAUCUUAUUUUUGUACAUAAGGUUGCCUCCCGGAUUAAAAAAAAGGUUGCCUCUCGGAUAUUGUUUUUAAUAAAAAAAUAUUUGGAUUUUCAGAAAUGGCUUUAAAAAUUCGAAAAGCUAAAAUAACUUUCAAAAUUUUCACUAAUUUGAAUAAGAAGUAAGUUCCAAAUGAGUAUUUCAGCUAUGAAUUAACUUCUAAACGCGGUAAAAAAAACAAUCAACUUCUAAACAAGUAUUUUAGAUAAAGUUGUUUUUUAGAAAAUUAAAUAAAAAAUAUUACCUCUUCUCGUUUCCGUUAAACUAAACUAAACAUCCUUGCAAAUUAUUUGAAAGAAGUUAAAAAUAUAAGAGAAAAUUCGGGACAUGUCACGAAAUGAAUAUGUCUAUUUAAUAAGCUUAUCCAUUCGGACACAAAAAAAAACAUAUGACAAACACUCUGCCACUUCACCAGACAGAAUCUAAAACCAACCAAUGAAAACGCGUAUCUACAGAUAACUCCUUUCUAUGGAGUUUGCUCCCAGAGCCACUCAUUGCUCUAUCUCAUUCUCUCGCUCACUCAUAAAACUCACAACUCACUCUAUCCUCAAUCAACCAAAGGAUAACACACACAAAAAAAAAACCAAGAAUCUUCAUCAUGGCCUCAGUAACCUCAGCCACCGUCGCAAUCCCAUCGUUCACCGGUCUCAAAUCCACAAUCUCCAAACCCUCCGCCGUCGUCAGACUCCCCACCACAGCAUCACGGAACCUCACCGUGAAGGCAUCUCUCAAGGACUUCGGAGUCGCGGCUGUUGCAGCUGCAGCUUCCAUCGCUUUGGCUGGAAACGCCAUGGCCAUCGAUGUUCUCUUGGGAUCAGGAGAUGGAGCGUUGGCUUUCGUUCCCAACGAGUUCACAAUAGCCAAAGGAGAGAAGAUUGUGUUCAAGAACAAUGCUGGAUUCCCACACAACGUUGUGUUCGAUGAGGACGAGAUCCCAAGCGGUGUCGACGCGAGCAAGAUCUCCAUGGACGAGCAAGAUCUACUCAACGCUGCGGGAGAGACCUACGAGGUUGCUUUGACUGAGCCUGGGACCUACAGCUUCUACUGUGCGCCUCAUCAGGGUGCUGGUAUGGUCGGUAAAGUCACUGUUAACUAAUAAAAUUGUGAGUGUAGAAGUGAAAGAGUGUCUCUGAUUCAUGUAGAGGCUUUUCUUUCAGUCUUACUUACAUAAGGUGUUUUGUACUUCUAAAGAGUGUUGGAAUCAAAUGGACAUUGAUUUGUUAUAAUGAGAGUACUGGUUCCAUGAAUGAAUUGUCUUGGUUUAUAAAUUAUUUGUAGAUUUAUGUCUGGCUCUGACAAUUUUUAAGAUUAUGAUAAGUUGGAAAAAUAAAUGCUAAAAAUAAGGGGUUUGUGUUAUAUUAACCGAAAGUUGUGGAGCUUUUGUCUCAAAACAUGUUUUGAGCUCGGAUAGAUAGUGUGUAAAACUAGUUAGAAUAAGUGUAAUUCUUCUACAUGCAUAUGUAUAAAUCCGUUUAAAACAUUUAUAAAUUAUAAACGAAAUAAUAUUAUAGUGUCUACAACUCCAGUUAACAUGUAAGAACUCAGUUAACAACUAUUGUGUGUCUAAGCUCAGCAUCUUUGUAUCCGGGUUAUCUACCAGCACAGUUGGAAGAACAUCUCAACUACAGCCAAUAACAUGCGUACUAAAGACUAAUGACUACUGACUAGAGUGCAUUGCAUUUGAAUAUAACAAGGAAACUAAUGACUGAGGUUCAAAAAUGUUUUCACCAAAAAGAGACUUACUUGUGCUGGUUUAGUCCGCACAAAGACUUUGGGAUUCAUCACAUUUAUAGUAUUUUUUGUUACCAUUUUAAGUACGUCAAUAACCUUGUCUUCGUCAUUACAUUAAUAGUGAAAAUUUAUCUAUCAAUGUAGUACAAAAAAUAAUGAUUUUGUUAGCUUAGUAAUUAUCCUCUAUUUGUAUGAUUUUUGUGUACAGACUACAGAUCAUAGCUAACAUUUUAAUUGACAGUAGUCCUAAAAUAUAACGAUUAAAAGCACAUACUUUAUUUUAAGAAAAUAGACUUGCUUUAAAAAGGAGGAACGUCAUAUGUUUAGUCAAAGAUGAUAAUACUUUAGUUAAUUAUAGAAAAUGUAAUAAUCAACAAUAGCCCAUUGGUUGAUUUCAUUUCAGUUGUGUAAGAAAAGUAAAAAACAUUGUGCUGGAAAAUAAAACCAUUCCUUCGGAAAUUACAACAAUACCCUCACCCAGAUAACAACCGACCAUUUUAAAUAAGGUUAUAAAUGUCAUUUACGAAAUUUCCUUUGUAAGAACAAGGGCAGCGUUAGAAGAACAGAGAGAUCGAAAAUAAAAAGAAGAAAGGAACAAGGUUUUGUGAUUCUCUUCUCCGAUUCGGUUCCUAAUCUGUCUUCGUUUUGCAAGCUUUCGGGUGUAUCUUUGGCGGUGAUGGCGAUGAAGCUGAGACAGUCGCAGCGAUCUCAGGCGAAGAAAUGGUCGACGUUAAUGCUGGUUCUGUUGAUGCUUUUCAUGCUAACGAUCGUUCUCUUGAUGCUUCUGUCUUUUGGGGUUUUCUCUCUUCCGAUUGAUACCUUCGACGAAUAUUCUCCGACCGAUCUCUCUUCUUUCCGACGAGCUGCAACCGAGAGGUGGCAUGAGUCCUGUCCUGUCCAGAUUCUUGUUUUAUUUAUUUAUUUAAUUGUUUGUAAUGUUUUGAUUCAAAUUUUUUUUUUUAUUAUUUCAGAAGCGAGGGAAUAGGGAAGAGAGGAGAUCAAUGGACUGAGAUUCUUUCUUGGGAGCCCAGAGCUUUCCUCUACCACGGUUUCUUGGUUUGUGUUCUGUUAUUUCAAAGAUUAGAUAACAUGUCUGAAUCUUUGAGAGUAUUAAAUUUUAUUUAUUUGAUGUUGACACAGUCGAAGGAAGAAUGUGAAUAUUUAAUCAGUCUUGCGAAACCAUAUAUGGUGAAGUCAACUGUUGUUGAUAGCCAAACCGGCAAAAGCAAAGACAGCAGGGUGAGAACAAGCUCAGGGACUUUCCUCAGGAGAGGAAGGGACCAAGUCAUUAAGACCAUUGAGAAAAGAAUUGCUGAUUACACCUUUAUUCCUGCAGGUUUUUUGAGAGACUUUUUCAAUGAUCAAUUAGCAGUUUAUCUAAUUAGUAUCAUAUAUGUAGACUAAUUUUGUUAUAUAUGUAAUUAGUAUUUAAAAAAAUGACUAUUCAUUUAGUAUUUUUGGUUAAGAUGAUUGAUUAUGGAAUGUGUAGAUCAUGGAGAAGGACUUCAGGUUCUUCAUUACGAAGAAGGGCAAAAGUAUGAACCACACUAUGAUUACUUUGUUGACGAGUUCAAUACCAAGAAUGGAGGUCAACGGAUGGCUACAAUGCUCAUGUAUCUGUAAGAUCUUCUGAACUCUAUUAUAUUACCAACUAUUGUCUUCUUUCUCUUAUACAAAAAAAAAAAAAAAAACUACAGGUCGGAUGUUGAAGAAGGCGGUGAAACGGUGUUUCCUGCUGCCAAUAUGAAUUUUAGUUCUGUGCCAUGGUAUAAUGAGCUCUCUGAGUGUGGGAAAAAGGGACUUUCCGUGAAGCCGAGAAUGGGUGAUGCAUUGCUCUUCUGGAGCAUGAGGCCUGAUGCUACACUUGAUCCCUCAAGCUUGCAUGGUACAAUAAUCAUAUAUAACACUCCUGUAAUUUGUUUUUUUUGUUCUUUCUCCGAUACCAUUGACUGUUUAGUUGACAAUUAAUAUAUGCUUCGUUGGAUCUAGGUGGAUGUCCUGUGAUUAAAGGGAACAAAUGGUCAUCUACCAAAUGGAUGCAUGUCGGCGAGUACAAAAUCUAGCGUCUUUGAUUGCUGGUAACGGUCAUUCUCGUUGAAGUUUCAAACAAGAAUAUGUCCAUUAUGUUUAUUUAGCGUGUGUUAGCUCUCGGUUCUUACAUUGUCCUCUUUUGUUGGACAGGACAAUAUACUGUUUCAUAGAUGGUGGAUAAAAUGAAACUUCGGAACCAAAAAAUGCAGAGAGAUGAUGUUUGUUUUUUUUGUCCCUGCGGCUCAGUAUAUUUGUCAGCACCAUUUUUUUUUGUUUUGAUGUGAUUCAGAGGGUUAUACAUACCAGUAGAGAAUACCAAAAGAUAUGCAACUUGUUAGACUAAAUUAGAAUGGCUUAGAGAGACUGAUGCUCAUUGGUAUACUAGCCAUCAGCUUGUCUCUGUCAUUGAAUAUACGUUGUGAAUUAGUUUAUGACAUUAUCAUAUACAAACUGUUGUUAUCUUUAUAUAAAAGCUGCAUUGUUUACUCAUACACCGAAAUUGGCAAAGGAGAAGGAUCACCAAAGGUCCCGCAACACCUGAGACAGUUCUGUACUCUGCACAAUUCAAAGAUCUUCAAAAUCAGAGUCGCAUACAAGCUAGAUCUCUUAAUCCGUUAGUCAACCAACGCUAUAGAGAGAGAGAAGUGAUCAAAUGAUCGGAGACUUACCCAUUCCGAUCUCGAGAGCUCCUUCGUCCAUGUCGAUUCCAGCCGCACCAUUGUCUCAAGAUCAAAUCAAGCCGCUCCUGGCCUCCUGGGGAGAGAAAAGUCGGAAACGAGUGGCGGGAACAAAGCGAUAUCAAAAAAAAAAUGAAAUGAAAGUUCGAUCCAAUAAUUCAAAUCUAGCCAGUGAAAGAGGAAGACGUGAUCAAACGAGGUGUGAGGAGAGAUCUGAUACCUGGAACGAAUCGAGUCAAGCAGAGAGAGAGAGAAGGAGAGGAUUUGCGAUUUGUGAUGUGUUAUUGAACGUGGUAGAGGAUAUAUCUGACCUCUACUAAUUAUUUGUGAUAUUAUUUUCCUCAAAAAAAAAAGUUUUUUUUUCGGAGCGGAAAAUAAUAAAAAAAUAAGCGCCCACCGUGGGGCUCGAACCCACGACCACAAGGUUAAGAGCCUUGCGCUCUACCAACUGAGCUAGACGGGCUUGUUGAAUAUCUCUUCCUUAAUUUAACCUAUAUAAAUACAAUUUGGGACAUAUUUUUUGCUGAAUGGUUUUCUAUUUAUAGCAAAAAGAUAGAAACACGGUUGGAUGUGGAAUUAGAUAUGAACCAAAAUCUUCCAAAUCAUAAAUUUCUAAAUGCUAAUUUUACCAUGUAGUGAUACGUAAAAUUGAAUUUAAGCAAAUUAAAAUUUUUUUAUAACCGUAUUUGAUGCUAAAGAUGCUUAAUUUAAUGAAGAGAGGGAGCGAAAUGAGGAAGUUUAUGGUAUGUAUGUUCGGUUCGGUUUGGUUUGAACCGAUUUAGAGUCAAAAGUUACAAACCGGAAAUCAAUUAGGGCAGUUCACUGGUUCAUGGGGUGUGUAGCGGAAGGGGAAGUUGUGCGGCUGUUGUUAUAUAUCAGAGAGAGGCGCCCUUGCUUCAAAAAAGAAGAAGACGAAACCGUUUCGAAUCGUUAUCCGAAUCUCAUAGGGUUUUUGGAGGAUCUAACCCGAACAGUCACACAAGGUAAGCAUUAAAUCGAUUUCACUGAGGAUUACACAGAUUCGAAUAAGUGGUUAUGAACCCUAGUUUCAUCGCUGUGCUCUUCUGAUUCUUUGUGUUGUUUCAGAUGGACAUGUAUGAGCGAGUGGCGAAGCCCAAGGCUGAGACUCCGAUUGCUGAGAACGAGAUUCGUAUCACCAGUAUGGGUAGGGCACGUAACUGCAUCACCUAUGCGAUGGCUCUGUUUCAGGUAUUGCGAUGAAUCUGAAAUUACUAAUCUGUGCUGUAUCAUGAAAGUUAGAAUAGUAGUUGUUAUAAUGAAGAGGUGGUGUUCAUAGGGUUGUGUUUUGGUGGAGAUUAAGAGAUUUGUUUUUUUUUUUUGGAAAUAUAGGAGAAAGGAUCGGAUGAAGUUGUUUUCAAGGCAAUGGGAAGAGCUAUCAGCAAGACUGUCAACAUUGUUGAGCUUAUCAAGGUAUGGUACUGGUUGUGUCUGUUUCAGAGCACAAGAAAAGAAGGGUUAUGUUGUGUCUGACAAUUAUGUAACUGAAUCUCUUAUUGCAGAGAAGGAUUCCUGGUCUUCACCAGAUCACAUCUAUUGGAUCUACGGACAUCACUGAUACCUGGGAACCUCUAGAGGAAGGCCUUCUUCCGUAAGUGGAUUGUUAUUUUCAUUUGGUGCUCGGACUCUUAUUACUUCUGUUAUUGAUUUUCUUGUCUCUUCUCCUGUAGAAUCGAGACAACAAGGCAUGUGUCGUUGAUUACUAUAACACUCUCGAAGAAGGAACUCAGCACAUCCUCUGUUGGGUGAGUUUUUUAAUGCUUGGUGUUUGGGUCUAGUUUCCAUAUAAGGAUUUUGUUCUCUUUUAAGAACUAAGGCUCUGUGUCUCAAGCGCUUGUCUGUCUAUAAGAAUGCUAAUAAUAACUGAUUUGCAGGUACCAGUGUCCGAUCCCGAUUGAGAUGGUGAAGCCAUUAGCUGAGAUUGAUCACGAAGGACGAGGUAUUCACUGUCUGAUUUUUAUAAUGAGCGUUUUCGACACACUACCCUGUUGACUUAUGCUUAUAAUCGACCUAUCUGCUGUAGAGGGACCACCAAGAGGCAGAGCUAGAAGAGGCAGAGGCGGAGGAAGGGGAAGAGGUGGCAGAGGUAUGAUUGCUUUCGCAAUUUCCCUUCCAGAAUAUUAGUUUCACCUGAUAUGUGGAGAAGGGUUCCAAUCUUGUGGUUUUGAUUGUAUUGUUUUCGGUUCUCUUAGGUGACGGGUAUGUGAAUGUUGAGUAUGAUGAAGGAGCUAUGGAGCCUGAGCAGUCACCUGGUAGAGGAAGAGGGGGCAGGAGAGGACGUGGUGGUCGUGGAAGAGGAGGUUAUGGUAAUCAACCUCACUACGAAGCUCAGCAAGAUGGAGGGGACUAUGGACACAAUGCUCCACAGUAUCGUGAGUAUGAUGAUGGAGGUAUGGAUCAUGAGCGUAGAGGAGGGCGCGUGAGAGGAGGAGGAGGAGGAGGACGACGUGGUGGCCGUGGAAGAGGAGGUAACAAUGGUCCUCCUCCUUACUACGAAGCUCAACAUGAUGGAGGAAACUAUGGUUACACUGCCCCUCCUCCAAGGGAUCAUGGGUAUGAUGAUGGAGGUAUGAACCCGGAGCGAUCAUCUGGUAGAGGAAGAGGGGGUGGGAGAAGAGGAGGACGUGGAAGGGGAGGUUACGGUUACGGUGGUGGUCAACCUUACUAUGAAAAUCAACAAGAUGGAGGAGACUAUGGAUACAACAACAAUGCUCCUCCUCGUGGUAGGAUGAUGUUUUAAAACACCAUUGUUGUCUCAAUGUUUUUAACCAGUAUUUUGCUAGAGGGUUUUAAUGUGAAAAAGUUGCUGGAACAGGACGUGGUGGCCGUGGAAGGGGAGGAGGUCGUGGAAGAGGAGGAGGACGUGGUGGAUACAACAGAUCGGAAGGACCACCGAACAAUGCAGCUGCUUAAGUGAGCAUGGUCGUUGAAUGGACUUAUUUUUCUUCAUUGUCUUUAUCUUAAGAAGAACAAGAUGUUGCCGUAGAAUAAUUUCCAUCUUUCAUUUUGUCUUUUAGGUGAUGUUAAAUGUUCAUUUAUUUUAUGAAUGUUGCCUUUGUGAUUUCUCAGGUUUGUUUUGUUCCUUCCAACAUUUCCCAGUUUUGUCUUUUAUUUUCUGAGUUAUUGAAAAUUUGCAAGUUUUGGUAUUGCAUUUACUUACACGAAACAUGAUGGAGUCUGUCAAGUACACGUUCCGUGUCUCGAGCUUCACCAAUCAUUGAUUCAUUUCUUCAACCCUUUCCUGCCUCAUUUUCACACAACCAGUAUACGUAUCUUGUCAUUUCAGUUGCGUUGAAAAAUCUUUUCAUUGAGCGGAAAACAAACCAAAAACAAUGAAGACACCUGCUGACUGUUUUGGAGAAGGCCCAAAAACUUAGACCCGUAAGGUCAAAGUCAUGUCCAAAAAAAAAACGCCGUUGCCGGGGAUCGAACCCGGGUCACCCGCGUGACAGGCGGGAAUACUUACCACUAUACUACAACGACUCUUGUUGCUAAUUUUUAUCUUAUUAAUUUGUAUCUUAUGACGUGGAAUGUUUAAAUGGUUUUAGGGUGAUGAACAUGAUAUGGAAGUUGAUACAGCUUCAUCGGUUGCUCAAGCUUCUUCCAAGCACUUACCUGCUGAGCUUGAGAUCUACUGUUACUUCAUUGUUCUUCUUUUUUUGGUUGAUCAGAAGAAGUACAACGAGGUUAUUAUUCCUUCUGCCUCUCAUGUUUUUUCUCAUGAGUUAAUGUUCUGUUUUGGUUUUAAUUUUUUGGUCGUUUCUUAGGCUAAAGCUUGUUCUUCAGCUAGCAUUGCUCGUCUCAAGAACUUAAACAGAAUGUGAUUGCUUCAAGGCUGUAUUUUUACUACUCCUUGAGUUACGAGCAAACCGGUGAUCUUGCUGAUAUACGCGGGUUAGCAUACUAGUAGCUCAGGUUCGCUGUACUUGGUUUUAAUCAGUAGCUCAACAUUUAAUUCUUGCAGGAAUCUUCUCGCUUUGCAUCAUUCUGCAACCCUACGCCAUGAUGAGUUGGGUCAGGUAUGUGCAGCCUACACUCAUUGGUAUGAAACGUUUUGUUUGCUACUUAAUGAAUAAUAUAUUUUUAUUGGAUGCAGGAAACACUUCUUAACCUUUUGCUUCGUAACUACCUGCACUACAAUCUGUAUGAUCAGGCAGAGAAGCUAAGAUCAAACCAUGCAUAACGAGGCGGUAAGGGCUUUGAGGUUUCCUCCCAACACGCACAAGGAGAAAGAGAGCGAUGAGAAGAGGAGAGAGAGGAAGCAGCAAGAGGAGGAGUUGGCUAAGCAUAUGGCUGAGGAAGACGAUGAUGACUUUUAGUCCGUCCGAUAGAGUUUGUUUACUCUCACUCUGCCCUUCGUUCCAAGUGUUUUUAGAGGAUUUUUAAAUUGUUUCUUUUAAAUACUUUGCUUUCAACUUUAGAACAGAGAUUUGUAUGGUUGGUUUCAGAAGAUUGGAAUCUUCUCAACUUCGUUUAAUGGUGUUUGGAUGUUUCUCGCAUCUUCAGAGUUGAAUACUUUUAGCUAUCUGUGUUGGGGCGGCUAGUUAUUAGAACAUAUGCAUGUGAAAUGUUAUCAUCAACUGGGUAAUGCAAAUUAUAAUGUAAUUAAUCCCUUUUUAUCUUUUUACUACCAGAAGGAUGAAGACUAGACAUGUGGUAUGACCAUUAAAUAAUGGGUUAAAUAAUUGAUACAUAACAUUAGUCUGUCCCUGCCAAACUAGGUUUCAUUUUCUUAUAAUAAAACAGUAUCAUGUUCUGCUUUAAUUUUACAGGUCUUUGUUACGUGAUUCAUUAUUUUUUCAAUAAUGACAAUCAGUAAUAGAUUCCCGGGCUCUUACAACUACCAACUAGUUAAAAACAUCAUUAAAGUCAUUGGCUUUACACUUCUUACACUAAUCAAGGUCCUCAAGUCCUUUACCUUGUUGGUUCCAUGUCUUUUUUUUAUCAAGGAGAAAUUUAUAUAGUUUGUGUAUAAAUUUCAAGAUGUGAUAUUAUUGUUUUUUUGUAAGAAGUGGCAGGUAGGUUGUGUAAGGCGACAGAUGCCGUGACGGUGAUCUUCGUCAACUUAGAUUGGAGAUCAAGUUUUGAGGAACGAAUAAUCCAAAUAAUGAUAACUAAUAAAGCGAUUUGGCAUGUUGCUAAUAAUACAUGACAAGCAAGCAUGUGAGUCUGUGGUAGAUGAACCCUGCACAUGUUUGUAUCAUAUCACAAACAAAAAAACUCUCUUUUGUCUUUCUUUCUACUCUUUUUAUUCAGUUAAACAAAAAGGUAUCAGUAUCCACCGCAUAACACAGUAUUAUGAACUUUUUAACGGAAUAUAAACACAAAUGCAUAUUACAAAACAUAGUGUGCAGAACUACUGUCUUUUUUGGACUUAGUAUUACUUACAAAUAUACAGAUGUAGAAGAAUUAAAUUAAGAUAUACACAGGCUAGAUAAAGAUACAAGACCCACAUGUAAGGUUUUGUUGCUACGUACUACAUAGUUUACACACACUGGCCACCUUUAUUUAAACACCACUCCCUAUCUCUCCUUCACUCGACCAUCAACACCAUCAUAAUCUCUUUCAUCUUCUACAAACACUAUAGUCAUGGCAAAGUCUCUAGCUGGAGUGGCGCUUUUAGCCGCUCUUUUUAUAACGGUUGAUGCGUUUAGGCCUUCUGGUUUAACCAACGGUCACGCCACAUUCUAUGGAGGGAGUGACGCUUCAGGAACAAUGGGUAAUUUUAACAAUUUUUAUUUGUCUUUUUUAAAAUAAUGUAACAAAAACUGAUAGAUUUUUGUCUAUUCAGGCGGAGCUUGUGGGUACGGAGAUCUAUACUCGGCGGGGUAUGGGACAAUGACGGCGGCGUUAAGCACGGCUCUCUUUAACAACGGAGCUUCGUGUGGAGAAUGCUAUAGGAUAACGUGUGAUUACGCCGCGGACUCAAGGUGGUGCAAGAAAGGAGCUUCCGUGGUUAUUACAGCAACUAACUUCUGCCCACCAAACUUUGCUCUACCGAGCAACAACGGUGGUUGGUGCAACCCGCCGCUAAAACAUUUCGACAUGGCACAACCUGCUUGGGAAAAGAUCGGGAUUUACAGAGGCGGGAUUGUUCCCGUCGUUUUCCAAAGGUUAGUUGCUAAAAGAAGAUUAAUAUAUUUAAAUAAACCCACUAAGUUUCUAUCUGAUCAUUUUAAACCUUAAAUUAACAUAGUUUACGAAGACAUGGUUAUAAUGUUAACUACAUAACAUGUGUUAGUUGAUACAUAUUAACCAUAUAAUUCAUGUAACUAAUGAUACAUUAAUAUUUUUAGAUGUGUUAUUAUGUGAUAGUUUUAUAGUUCGCGUAGAUAUCAAUCAUUUUUUUCAUCAUAAAAGUUCUCCAAAUUCCAAAUUGAAAUAACAGAUCAAUAGUUGUUGAAUCCGGAUUUGUUUAGCUUUUAAACAUAGAGAAAAAUAGUGAUGGAUUUUAAAAUGAGAGAUAAAAGAAAGUUAAAAGGUUUUUUUUUUUUUUUAGUUUCUUAAAAUCCUUUAACUGAAAUGUCUCUGUUUUUAUUUUUGGUCAUGUAAAAAACAGAGUAAGCUGUUAUAAGAGAGGAGGAGUGAGAUUCAGAAUAAACGGAAGGGAUUACUUCGAGCUAGUGAACAUAUCGAACGUAGGAGGAGCUGGUUCCAUUAAAUCUGUAUCCAUUAAAGGAUCAAAGACUGGUUGGUUAGCCAUGUCUCGCAACUGGGGAGCUAACUGGCAAUCAAACGCUUAUCUCGAUGGUCAAUCUAUCUCUUUCUCAAUUACCACUACUGAUGGUGCUACAAGAGUCUUCCUAAAUGUUGUUCCUUCUUCUUGGUCCUUUGGACAGACUUAUUCUUCCAGGGUUCAGUUUUAAAUACUUUUUUUUUCCUUUUCUUCCAUGUCUGAAAGAUUAUUGGCAGUGGUCGCGCUUUGAGUCUAUUCUUUUCUCCCGGAGCAACCCGCCCGCUUUGUUAUUAUUAUUAUAUAUUAUCUGAUUUGAUGCACUUUUCUGUUGAUGUUUGUUUAAAACUUAUAAAUACAAUAUUUUUCUAAAAUUACCAUAAGAAAUUGUUAUAGAGUAUAAAGAAUGCAAGAAAAUAACAAGGAAACAAAUGAAUAACGCGAUGAUGUAAAUGAUACAGAAAUUUAACGUAGUUUAAAAUUUUUGCUAUGUCCAUGGACCAUGAACAAAGAUAAAUCUAAUCUAUUAAUUAAGGAUUAUAUUUUUAUCUACUUAGACCAAUUCACUAGAAACUUAAUAUGUCUUAACCACAUGAUGGCACAUUGCAGAUGGUACCAUUAUGGAAACACUACUGUGCAGAUGCAUCCGGGCUUGUGUAUGUAGUCGACAGCAGGGACAGAGAGCGAAUGGAAGAGCGGCCCCAAGUUUGAUUUUAAGGGGUGUCAUAUUGGGUUAUAGCCCAACAUAACUGUAAUAAAAAAGGAAAAUAUAUAAAAAAAUAUUACAUGGUGGAGUCCAACUAGGUUAUGGGGUGUCAGUUGUAAGGGAAAUCAACCAACUGAGCUACAAACUUCUUCAGCUAUUAACAUACAAACACCGAAAUAGAAAAUUAAACCUGUGUCAGAUGACACCGCAUUCUAUAACGUAGGUCCGCCUCUGAAGAGACAAAGAGUUUCCUUUACAUGGUGAUGGAUGAGGUAACAAACCAUGUCCCUUUUAAACAUCUAGCAAGUUCUAUAUAAUGCCAAUUUUUUUUUUAAUUCCCUAGAUUUAGAUACAAGGGAAGGUACCGGACAAUAUGGCUGUUCUUCUUUAAUCAAACAAGCAUGAGGUUCCUGGUGCCAUGUCUGCUUCUGAGAUCAGUAACGAACUUGAUCUCGUUUCUCUUCGUCAGAGAAACUGGCAAAGGAACUAGUAAGAAGAUAUAUACAACGUUCUCUAGCCAAUAAUCCUGCCAAAUAAGAUUGAUUCUUUUGAUGAUCUGUGUUUUGGUAUUUGCGUGUAAGGCAUGUCCACAAACUUUAACAAGUCGCAACAUUCUUCUUGAGUUAUAAAGUCUUAAUAACAAACCUCUCUUUGAGUUGGAGUGAACUUCCACUGCAUCCCAUCUGCAACAUCAGCAUUGAACUGCACCACAAUCUCCCUAUUUACAAGACAAACAUGAUAAAAUUGAGUAAGCAACCAAGUUGAGCAUAAACACAUAUAAAAAGGACGACAGGUUACGAAUGGUGUAAAGAGACAGAGGAAUAAACACAUUUCAGUGACGGUGCCAGAUUCUAAAUGCCUACCAAUUUUUUCCUCAACAGUCUAAUUUCCACCACAAUCUGAAGCUUAUAAUAAUAAUGGCAAUGACACUCUUGCAAUAGGUAGCUUGAUCUUCAAUUAUCAUGGCAUCAGUUUAGUUAGAAAGACGAAAUUAGGUUUAUUAUUUCUUCUGUAAUAAAGGAAUCAUUUAUGUACCUUGUGGUCUAUUUAAUGAACGAAAACAUGUUCUCAGAACACAGCCAAAUACAUUGCCUUUGUGCAACUAAACCUCUUGGUCUCUUUUGACCCUGAUAACGUAUUGGUGCAUGCAUAAUUAGAGUUGUGAGUUUAGUGCUAAAUCCUACCUUAAUAGCUUCAAAGAAAGGCAUUAAAAGAAGGCAACAAGUAAUAAUACAAUUUAGAUUAAACAAGUCGUUAAUAUUAUGAUAAGUCUCUUUUAAGAGAGGACUUGUAUACAUGCAUGAUGCAUCAGCAAGAACCCAUUCAUAUUAUGCUAUUGGCAAAGAUAGAUAGAGUAAGUGCAGCUCCAACCAACAACGCCGAAUAGAUUUAUGUAUCUUGUUAGAUAUUCUAUUUUAUUUAAUGUAAUGUCCUAAAUGAAAGGUUGUUCAAAAGAAAAUAAAAAUAUCCCGUUUUAAUGGGUUAACGAACUUAAAUCUAAUAAAAAUGAUUAAAUAGAAUAUUGUAGCUCAUAUAAAAUUGAUCGUAUACAUCAAGAAUCCUACCUGAUCAAAACAAAUUCAAGCUAAUCAAAUAGGAUAUAUGGAUGAUUAUGCCAAGAACAAAAGCAUAGUUUAAAACCCAGUGAAGAUUACAAGAACAACAAAAGAAUCAGAUAGUUUCCUUCUUUGACUCAGUUUCACUAGAAAUGUGACAAAAACAUUGAAAGACAUUCUUACAUAUUUAUUACUUUAUAAAUGUUUCAUAAACCCUACAAAAGUAUUUUUUUUUUUUUGAUGAAUCAAAAGAAUCAAGAACUUGGUCCUGUGAUUUGCGCAAACACUAGUCUUCUUGAUCUAUUAAUAGUGUGGAAACAAAGAUAGAGAUGUUCUUCAAGCUCUUGCAAUUGCUCUAAGAAUCUUUCUUCAUGUCCACUAAACUCUCUCAAGGCUUCCUUUAACACUUCAAUCUUCCCACUCUUAGCACACAUGGCAGCUACCGUUUUUCUAUGCUCUAUCUCAUCGCAUAAUCUCCCGGCAAGUCUACUCAACGUAUCCAAAUCAUUUAUCAUUAUGAACAUUCCUUUAGCUGCUAUAUCCAUUUGUGUCCCGAGCUUCUCUAGCGAUGGAUCGGUCUUGCUCUUAUUCUCCACGUUCCUUUUCGCUUUCUUCUUCUUCUUCCUCAAAAGACCUAAUGAGCAUAAACCGAGCACAGCAGGAGCUACUAAGACGCCGAGUAUGCUGUGUAACGCCACGAUCAGCAAUGUAAUAACAAUCGCGCUAUGUGAAAUCACUAGACUACAACCUCCUAGCUUCUUGCAAAACUUAAAGAACCUGUCUUUUCUUCUGAUUCUUCUCCUUUUAGAAGUUAAUCUAGCGAGCAACUCCGAGUUUGCAUCAUGAACUCUCCGGAACUGAGCUUGGUUGAUGAUACUAUACAAAGGGUUUUUCAGCAAGGCGUAUCUCGAGAGCUCUUGAAAUACCAAAGCACGUUCAGGGGUUUUAGCACCAUUAUUACAAACCCUUUUACCAAUCUUGAUAACCCUUUUGAUUUUGAUGUGAUUGAUCUUGAUUUGUUGGAUGCAUUGAAGGAGAGACUCACAUACAUCACAAGCGUCGGAGCUAAAGUCAAAGAAGUUAGCUAGAAGAUUGUGGAAACUCGAGUCUUGCAUGAGAGCAUCGAGAGUUUCUUGAGGAGGGUCGAGCAAGUAAUCGGUGAAGUGUGAAUGGAAGCUAAGAUCUGAGGAUGAAGGAGAAUGAGAAGCAGAAGGAGGAGAAGAAGAGAGUUUGCUAGAGAAUGUUAUGCCUAAUUGAUCUUCAGCUUUUGUCCGAAUAUCUAAGUAGGACUUUGUCCUAAAAGCUUCCUUGUACUCCUCGUUAACACUUAGCUUGGACGUCAAGCUACGACGAUAUUCCUUCUCAGAAUUUUCUGCUCCAUUGACAAAAAAAAAACAGUUUAGAUAACUCAAAAUAUCUCUAAAUUAAAAUGACGAGAAAAAAUCUAAACAUUGCAGAAGUAAAAGCAUUUCAAGAACUUAAAAAAAAAAUUCAAGAGCUUAAAAAACAAUUUCAAGAGCUUAAAAAAACAAUUUCAAGAACUAGGUGUAAGAGAAGAAGAGAAGCAAAUCAUUCAAGAUUUUCAUGAGAAAAAAAUGAGAAAAUAAAGAAAAAAAGUUUCACCUUGUCUUGCAGAGGAAGAUUUUAAUCUAGAACUAAGAAGAUUCUUCAUUUUCAUCAUCUUUGAUGGAGCUCAAAGGUAUAUGUGAUUCAGGUGAAUGAUAGACAAAGCUUCUUGUUUCUUAUAUACAUACGUCUUUGUUUUUUUGUAUGGCGGUUUAUGAUUUAUUUUUGUGAUUAAAAGUAUAUAUAUAUAUAUAUAAGCGUAUAUGUAGGAAUGAUUGGUUAGACAAAGAUUAGAGAGAGAGAUGAAACAAGGGAGAAGGAAGAGAAGAUUGAGAAGCGACAGCUAGAGAGAUGGUGUACGUUAGCACCGCUAUCUAGAUUUUCCUUUUGGAUCUUUGAACGAUGUCUUAAGGCGCAAGUUAGAUGGUACGACACGUUGCGCUUUUGACACGUGUUGUGCUUUAGGGGUGAAGAUGACUUGUUAUUUUGGAGAAGAAGUUUCCUUUUACGGUGUUUAAUGGAUAAAUACUGAAAUUCGUCUGGGAGAUUAAUUUUAAAAGAUCAUAAUUCGUUACGAGAAAUUAGUAUGGAGUUCCUCGUACGCUUUCCCAAAACGAGUGUUUGCCACGUAGAACUAUUUCAAAUAUUAUCUGAUUUGGAAAUUUGCUUUUUUUCUAAUUAUUAUUAACUAGGUGGUUGUUUUUAUAAAGAAUUUUAAACUUCUGACAAGUUGAUUUCACAAAAUAUGAUAAAGAUUUUUGAGUUUAAAAAAAACAUGCUUUAUAAGAUUUUAAUAGUUAUUAUAAAAUAAUAUAAUAUACGAAUAUAAUUCAUUAUGAAAAAUAUAAAACUAAUGACAAAAAAAAUUAUUUUAAUUAUUUUAUAUAAAAUAUUUGGUUAUUAUAUUAUAUAGUUUAUAAAUAAUAAAAAAUAAUUGAUCAAACAUUUCUGAUAUUUCCAUAAUUUUAACAGUUAGUUACCAUAAGUUAUUAUCUGUAAUAUUCUAUAGAUUAUUUGGUAACUGAUAUUAAUUGAUUCUAAAUUUACCAUUAAUUUUAAUUCUAAUUAAAACAAAUAAAAAUUAAAAAUUAUCGACUAAUUAAAUUAUAACAUUUUUUUGAAAUUUCACCAGUAAUAAACACAUAAGCGAAAGUCACUUAAGUAACUUCUCAUUUAAUACAUAGGAGUAUUUUUUUUUUGCUAAUCUUUUGUAGAUUUUUUUUAAGACAUUUAUCAUCCAAAGGCUCAACGCUCAAGCAACGAAGAGUGGCCCUCUUAAUUCUUAUCUUUCAACAUCAUGUGAUUGAGAUGUUUGACAUUUUGGUAAGAUAUGAAAAUAUCUAAUCAUGGACUUAUUCUUUUGAACUAAUUUGAUGCAAAUCAUGCAUGGACUUGUUUCAAUUUGAGUUUAUUAUAAUUUCUUCACGAGGGUGUUAUUUAUAUAUAGGUCUAGUGUAGGUUAACUAAUAAUAAGUUGGAGAGUGAAAACCCUAAACCAAACUACACAUUAGAGAUUAUAAUAAUAUGAAUGUGCUUUCGAGAUUAUCGUAUAAACAGAGUUUGUAGUUAAUACGUUAUAGUAUGAAGAGUCAUGCUAUAUAAUAUACAUCUACAUGAUUACUCGACGGAUCUCUUUCAAAGAUAAUAAUAUUCUGACUUGUCAUGGUACUACUGCUAGCUGUAGUAAUAUCAGAUGAUUUAAUAAUGUGUUAAUAUACAGAUACUUGCUAUAUAUGUGUUAAUAUAUUGUUCAUUGAAGUAUAUGUGGUUGUAGUAAUAUAAACUGAUUUAAUAUUGGUUAAAUAUAUCUUACCUAGUGUAGAUACCAUCCCCAAUAAGUAGACCGUAUCAUCUAGACUGAUAAUCAGUGUAUAUGACACUUUAAAAUUCUUUAUAACCGAAAAUGAAUAGUAUUGGAUCGCAAUCCAUAUUCCUAGCUAGUCAUGUAUUUUAAUAUUUACCAUUAAUAUCGUCUAACUGCACAAGAUGGUGGAACUAGACCUCCAAUGAAAAAUAUAUAGUUACAUGUUUAUGCUUUUUAUAUCUAUUAUGUAUAGUUCAUACUUUUGUGACAAAAAAAAAAAAAGUAUAGUUCAUACUUAAAUAGUUUAACUUAGUAUGUGAAUAAGAAAUGUUAUCUAGACUUUGAAUUCG
rnacentral:lncRNA from 1 species